rnacentral:rRNA from 1 species
UGCCAGCAGCCGCGGUAAUACGUAGGUGUCAAGCGUUGUCCGGAUUUACUGGGCGUAAAGGGAGCGUAGGCGGAUCUUUAAGUGGGAUGUGAAGCCCCGGGCUCAACCUGGGAACUGCAUUCCAAACUGUCAAACUAGAGUGUGGUAGAGGGAGGUAGAAUUUCCUGUGUAGCGGUGAAAUGCGUAGAUAUAGGAAGGAAUACCGAUGGCGAAGGCAGCCUCCGGGACCAACACUGACGCUGAGGUGCGAAAGCGUGGGGAGCAAACAGGAUUAGAUA